rnacentral:misc_RNA from 1 species
UCUCCGUAGGUGAACCUGCGGAGGGAUCAUUACUGAGUGAGGGCGAAACGCCCGACCUCCCACCCCAUGUGAUUAUACCAUGUUGCCUCGGGGGUGACCCGGGCCCGUCGGCUCGGGGCCCCCGACGGACAAUUUCAAACACUACAUCUUUGCGUCGGAUUACAAAGUUUAAUGAAUUAAAACUUUCAACAACGGAUCUCUUGGUUCUGGCAUCGAUGAAGAACGCAGC